UUGACGGGGGCCCGCACAAGCGGUGGAGUAUGUGGUUAAUUCGAUGCAACGCGAAGAACUUACCUGGUCUUGACAUCCCGGAGACCCUUAGGAAACUAGGGGGUGCUUCCAUCUGGAAGAAUCUGGAGACAGGUGCUGCAUGGCUGUCGUCAGCUCGUGUCGUGAGAUGUUGGGUUAAGUCCCGCAACGAGCGCAACCCUUGCCUUUAGUUGCCAGCAGUUCGGCUGGGCACUCUAAAGGGACUGCCGGUGUUAAACCGGAGGAAGGUGGGGAUGACGUCAAGUCCUCAUGGCCUUUAUGACCAGGGCUACACACGUACUACAAUGGCCGAUACAAAGGGCAGCGACACUGCGAGGUAAAGCCAAUCCCGUAAAAUCGGUCUCAGUCCGGAUUGGAGUCUGCAACUCGACUCCAUGAAGUUGGAAUCGCUAGUAAUCGUGGAUCAGCAUGCCACGGUGAAUACGUUCCCGGGCCUU
rnacentral:rRNA from 1 species